CCUACGGGAGGCUGCAGUAGGGAAUAUUGCUCAAUGGGGGAAACCCUGAAGCAGCAACGCCGCGUGGAGGAUGAAGGUUUUAGGAUUGUAAACUCCUUUUGUGAGAGAAGAUAAUGACGGUAUCUCACGAAUAAGCACCGGCUAACUCCGUGCCAGCAGCCGCGGUAAUACGGAGGGUGCAAGCGUUACUCGGAAUCACUGGGCGUAAAGAGUGCGCAGGCGGGCUUGUAAGUCAGAUGUGAAAUCCUGUAGCUUAACUACAGAACUGCAUUUGAAACUAUGAGUCUAGAGUGUGGGAGAGGUAGGUGGAAUUCGUGGUGUAGGGGUAAAAUGCGUAGAUAUCAAGAGGAAUACUCAUUGCGAAGGCGGCCUACUGGAACAUUACUGACGCUCAUGCACGAAAGCGUGGGGAGCAAACAGGAUUAGAUACCCUUGUAGUC
rnacentral:rRNA from 1 species